AGCGAACGCUGGCGGCAGGCCUAACACAUGCAAGUCGAACGAAGUCUUCGGACUUAGUGGCGGACGGGUGAGUAACACGUGGGAACGUGCCUUUAGGUUCGGAAUAACUCAGGGAAACUUGUGCUAAUACCGAAUGUGCCCUUCGGGGGAAAGAUUUAUCGCCUUUAGAGCGGCCCGCGUCUGAUUAGCUAGUUGGUGAGGUAAAGGCUCACCAAGGCUACGAUCAGUAGCUGGUCUGAGAGGAUGACCAGCCACAUUGGGACUGAGACACGGCCCAAACUUCUACGGGAGGCAGCAGUGGGGAAUCUUGCGCAAUGGGCGAAAGCCUGACGCAGCCAUGCCGCGUGGAUGAUGAAGGUCUUAGGAUUGUAAAAUCCUUUCACCGGUGAGGAUAAUGACUGUAGCCGGAGAAGAAGCCCCGGCUAACUUCGUACCAGCCGCCGCAGUAACAC
rnacentral:rRNA from 1 species